rnacentral:rRNA from 1 species
GGGUUGUGAGGUUAAGCGACUAAGCGUACACGGUGGAUGCCUAGGCAGUCAGAGGCGAUGAAGGGCGUGCUAAUCUGCGAUAAGCGUCGGUAAGCUGAUAUGAAGCGUUAUACCCGACGAUACCCGAAUGGGGAAACCCAGUGUGUUUCGACACACUAUCAUGACAUGAAUACAUAGUGUCAUGAGGCGAACCGGGGGAACUGAAACAUCUCAGUACCCCGAGGAAAAGAAAUCAACCGAGAUUCCCCCAGUAGCGGCGAGCGAACGGGGAGGAGCCCAGAACCUGAAUCAGUUUGUGUGUUAGUGGAAGCGUCUGGAAAGUCGCACAGUAAAGGGUGAUAGUCCCGUACACAAAAAUGCACAGAUUGUGAGUUCGAUGAGUAGGGCGGGACACGUGACAUCCUGUCUGAAUAUGGGGGGACCAUCCUCCAAGGCUAAAUACUCCUGACUGACCGAUAGUGAACCAGUACCGUGAGGGAAAGGCGAAAAGAACCCCGGCGAGGGGAGUGAAAUAGAACCUGAAACCGUGUACGUACAAGCAGUGGGAGCCUACUUGUUAGGUGACUGCGUACCUUUUUGUAUAAUGGGUCAGCGACUUAUAUUCUGUAGCAAGGUUAACCGUAUAGGGGGAGCCGCAGGGAAACCGAGUCUUAACUGGGCGUUAAGUUGCAGGGUAUAGACCCGAAACCCGGUGAUCUAGCCAUGGGCAGGUUGAAGGUUGGGUAACACUAACUGGAGGACCGAACCGACUAAUGUUGAAAAAUUAGCGGAUGACUUGUGGCUGGGGGUGAAAGGCCAAUCAAACCGGGAGAUAGCUGGUUCUCCCCGAAAGCUAUUUAGGUAGCGCCUCGUGAAUUCAUCUUCGGGGGUAGAGCACUGUUUCGGCUAGGGGGUCAUCCCGACUUACCAACCCGAUGCAAACUACGAAUACCGAAGAAUGUUAUCACGGGAGACACACGGCGGGUGCUAACGUUCGUCGUGAAGAGGGAAACAACCCAGACCGCCAGCUAAGGUCCCAAAGUCAUGGUUAAGUGGGAAACGAUGUGGGAAGGCAUAGACAGCCAGGAUGUUGGCUUAGAAGCAGCCAUCAUUUAAAGAAAGCGUAAUAGCUCACUGGUCGAGUCGGCCUGCGCGGAAGAUGUAACGGGGCUAAACCAUGCACCGAAGCUGCGGCAGCGACACUUAGGUGUUGUUGGGUAGGGGAGCGUUCUGUAAGCCGUCGAAGGUGGCCUGUGAGGGCUGCUGGAGGUAUCAGAAGUGCGAAUGCUGACAUAAGUAACGAUAAUGCGGGUGAAAAACCCGCACGCCGGAAGACCAAGGGUUCCUGUCCAACGUUAAUCGGGGGCAGGGUGAGUCGACCCCUAAGGCGAGGCUGAAAAGCGUAGUCGAUGGGAAACAGGUUAAUAUUCCUGUACUCGGUGUUACUGCGAAGGGGGGGACGGAGAAAGCUAGGUUAUCCGGGCGACGGUUGUCCCGGUUUAAGCGUGAAGGUGGAUGACUUUGGUAAAUCCGGGUCGUCAUUAACACUGAGGCGUGAUGACGAGUCACUACGGUGAUGAAGUAACCGAUGCUACGCUUCCAGGAAAAGCCUCUAAGCUCCAGGUAACAUCAAAUCGUACCCCAAACCGACACAGGUGGUCAGGUAGAGAAUACUCAGGCGCUUGAGAGAACUCGGGUGAAGGAACUAGGCAAAAUGGUGCCGUAACUUCGGGAGAAGGCACGCUGAUGGUAGGUGAAGUGACUUGCUCAUGGAGCUGAAAUCAGUCGAAGAUACCAGCUGGCUGCAACUGUUUAAUAAAAAACACAGCACUGUGCAAACACGAAAGUGGACGUAUACGGUGUGACGCCUGCCCGGUGCCGGAAGGUUAAUUGAUGGGGUCAGCCGCAAGGCGAAGCUCUUGAUCGAAGCCCCGGUAAACGGCGGCCGUAACUAUAACGGUCCUAAGGUAGCGAAAUUCCUUGUCGGGUAAGUUCCGACCUGCACGAAUGGCGUAAUGAUGGCCAGGCUGUCUCCACCCGAGACUCAGUGAAAUUGAACUCGCUGUGAAGAUGCAGUGUACCCGCGGCAAGACGGAAAGACCCCGUGAACCUUUACUAUAGCUUGACACUGAACCUUGAGCCUUGAUGUGUAGGAUAGGUGGGAGGCUUUGAAGCGUGGACGCCAGUCUGCGUGGAGCCAACCUUGAAAUACCACCCUUUAAUGUUUGAUGUUCUAACGUGGACCCGUAAUCCGGGUUGCGGACAGUGUCUGGUGGGUAGUUUGACUGGGGCGGUCUCCUCCCAAAGCGUAACGGAGGAGCACGAAGGUUAGCUAAUCCUGGUCGGACAUCAGGAGGUUAGUGCAAAGGCAUAAGCUAGCUUGACUGCGAGAGUGACAGCUCGAGCAGGUGCGAAAGCAGGUCUUAGUGAUCCGGUGGUUCUGAAUGGAAGGGCCAUCGCUCAACGGAUAAAAAGGUACUCCGGGGAUAACAGGCUGAUACCGCCCAAGAGUUCAUAUCGACGGCGGUGUUUGGCACCUCGAUGUCGGCUCAUCACAUCCUGGGGCUGAAGUAGGUCCCAAGGGUAUGGCUGUUCGCCAUUUAAAGUGGUACGCGAGCUGGGUUUAGAACGUCGUGAGACAGUUCGGUCCCCUAUCUGCCGUGGGCGUUGGAAGAUUGAGAGGGGUUGCUCCUAGUACGAGAGGACCGGAGUGAACGCACCACUGGUGUACGGGUUGUGAUGCCAAUUGCAUUGCCCGGUAGCUAAGUGCGGAAGAGAUAACCGCUGAAAGCAUCUAAGCGGGAAACUUGCCUCGAGAUGAGUCUUCCCUGGGCACUUGAUGCCCCUGAAGGGCCGUUGAAGACGACGACGUAGAUAGGCUGGGUGUGUAAGCGUAGCGAUACGUUGAGCUAACCAGUACUAAUGACCCGAGAGGCUUAACCUUACAACACCGAAGGUGUUU